AUCAAUAUUGAAAUGCUCUGUUAUAAAAAUCCAGACGACCAGUCAAAUAUGUGAUGGUGCUUUAUUCCUUGAAAGAAGCUGUAAAAAUGAAUUCAAGAUGAAGUAUAUUCCUUGCACUGUAACAGCCAGUUUGUUGUUUCUGUACUUUUCAGCACCUUGUGCACCAGAGGACAUCUCCACCAGUCUGAACUGUGACACCAAGAGUACAUCAGUGGCCUGGGAGGAGAGUGAUGGGGCGAUGUGGUACAUUACAACAGCAGAAGGACAAGAUGGACACAUUUCACUGUGUAACACAACGGGGACAAGCUGUGAAUUCAUGGACCUGCACUGUAGUCAAACGUACUCACUAACUGUAAUAGCGAUGGACAGUUACUGUCAGAGUGUAAACACUUCCGUCUUUGAAGCUGAAACAGCCCCUUGUCCCCCUCAGAACGUACAAGCUGAUAGUGUUGGCGUCACUGCCUCUGUAGCAUGGGAGAUGAGUAAUCUCACAGUGUGGUACACUGCAACAGCGGAGGGCAGCGAUGGACACACGGCCACUUGUACCACGUCCGACACAAACUGUCUAAUCCCAGAUCUUCACUGCAGCCAAACGUACAGCAUCUCCGUCCUCGCAUUUGGUGAAACCUGCAGCAGUCUCCAAAGCUCACGUUCUGAAAUUUAUACAGGUAAUAAAGAAGGAAAGAAUACCUCUUCAUAUAACACAUUUAAUCUUUGAAGGAUAUCUUGAGACACUUCACAAUGCAGAGAUUGUUUCCUAUUUGGUAACUCUGGAACAAGCUAAACUGUUCAACACUAUGAGGUCUCAUAAAACACUAAUCUGUGUGGAGAGGGCAGUAAGGUAGCAACCCUGAAGUGAGGCAACUACCAACAAUUCUUUAGCAAUGCUACCUACCAGCACAUCAAGCAUGCAAGACAUGGCAAACAGCAUGGCUCCCACUCCUUCAACCUGUGUGUUGCAAAUGCCAAAUCACCAAAUGACGCAGGGUGGAGAAGAGAUAAAACUGAAUUCUGUGAUGUUGUUCAGGCCUAUGAGGCAAUGUCAUGUUAGUGCAGAGAGAGGCCCUUGUUUUACAGAUGCCCACUGCUUUUGCCAGUGACUCCGCUGGCUCAAAAUCGAUCCAAUAUUUGGAUAUGUUUACUUCAAGGAGUAUCUGAUCUUCAAGGAGUAUCUGAUCUUCAAACAUGCAGGCAUAGAUCCACUGCACCAAGCAACUUGAUUGGAAAUGGCAAGUUUGUUGUCUUGGAAUAAUCAGUCAUCAGCAUGAAACACUGGUGGUCUGAGAAACAGUGGCAGGGUUUUAGUGGUAUACGGGAUUUCAGUUACUGUAAUGAUUUCAUCCCUGGUACUGCAACUUUCUUCAAUCCCUGUAUUUUUUUAGCAAUUCCCUCUGAUGCGAUCAGAGUCUUCCUAUUCCUGUCAGACAUCAUUGAUCAAGAUACAACACUCGUAGAAAUCAGUGGGACACCUUGGAUUUAAAUUCAAUGCUGAACUUAGGGCAUAAUUUCUUUGUAUCUAAUGUGGUUGGAUUGAGUAGAUGUAUGUGAAUAUCAUGGUAGCUCCUGAAGCUACUUGAACUUUGAGAGAUGCUGGCAAGCAAUAUCUGUGCCCUUGGAUUUUAAUGUUAAUAUUUCCUUUCCUGCAGCACCUUGUGCCCCAGAUGAAAUUGUUGCCAAUGUGGAUUGUACCUCCAAUAAAGUGGUGGUAUCGUGGGGUAGGAAUAAUGGGGCGAUCUCGUACGAUGUAACAGCUGAAGGAAGUGAUGGGCACACACACUCAGACAACACCACAGACACGCGCUAUGAAAUGCUGGAUUUACACUGUGGACAAUCCUAUAACAUAACCGUAACAACUCUGAGUUACAGCCGGCACGGCAUUUCAAGCAUUUCUGUACAGAUACAAACAGCACCCUGCAUUCCUGAGAAUCUCACGGCUGAGCUGAAUUGUGAAUUGAAUACAAUAUCUUUCUGGUGGGAUGAAGCUGACGGAGCAAAGUUGUACACGGUGACUGUUCGAGACAGUCAAAGAGAAACAGCUUCAUUCAACACAAGUGAUACAAGGGCUCAAACCCACGAGCUGCAGUGUGGUGAAUAUUAUACAAUCUCUGUUCUAGCAACAGAUGAUAUCUGCAGGAGACCCCAGACAGCAGUGGUCAAUGUACAUGCAGUCGCUUGUGAUCCUCAUAAUGUCAAAGCACAACUGGACUGCAACGUCAAUACAGCAUUGGUAAUGUGGGACUACACUAAAGGAGCACUGUGGUACACUGCCGUUGCGGAAGGUGCUGAUGGGAACAAUGUCUCAUGCAGCACAUCAGAAACAUCCUGUAGAACACCCACGUUACUCUGUGGCCAGUUAUAUUCUGUACAUGUUGUAGCAUCGGACAGGACUUGUAACCACUCUGUGAGUUUAUCAACUGAAAUUCAGACAGGUAACUCAUUAUUUCAUGGCAUGCUAUCCAGAAGUAUAAGAGUUUAUCAUUUACAUGCACCCUUAUGUUACUUCAAUAUGUUGACAGAGCAUGUGUUUAAGAAGGAACUGCAGAUGCUGGAAAAUCGAAGGUACACAAAAAAGGUGGAGAAACUCAGCGGGUGCAGCAGCAUCUAUGGAGUGAAGGAAAUAGGCAACGUUUCGUGUCUGAA